rnacentral:misc_RNA from 1 species
AAGUCGUAACAAGGUUUCCGUAGGUGAACCUGCGGAAGGAUCAUUAAUGUGAUUGCAGUGUUGACUCUUGACUCUUAAGUCAGAGUCAACACACGCAAGACUCAUCCUUGUGUUAUGUAUUGUGUGUGUACAUUGUGACACUAACGUGUCACAAUGUACAUGUUUUUUAAUCAUUUCCAACCCUUCUUAUCAUCCAAACAAACAAUCGAAAACUGCCAGCAACGGAUCACUCGGUUCUC